UUUUUAUGUUCGUGGGACUAU
ensembl:piRNA 21ur-7829 ncRNA